rnacentral:lncRNA from 1 species
GCAACUGCAGUCACAAGACAUUGUUUUGCAUUCCACAGUCAGAGGUACUGUUGGAGUUUCUCACGGGAAAGGGAGACUGGAUGUGACGUACACUGGUUUCCUGUUUUUCACUCGGUGUGUUUUCUCUCCGAGCUGAGAGAGGAGAGAGGAUGCAUUUUCUGCUCCUGCAGAGGCAAGAUGUCUUUCUGUAAUAUACCAGCUUUGAACUGUAAAUAAAGCAAUAUAGAGUAUGUAACACAUUUUCCUCAUCCUUCCGCUGGCCACAAGACUCUGCUUUAAAUCAACACGUGGUUAUGGACUCCAGAGGUCGAAUCGGAGUGCCGGCAGAUCGGAAUGCAGAGGGACGGAUCGGAAAGGAAUCUGCUCUGCGCGUAGAAGUGAUUGAUGAGGUAUGUGCUACUGCUCCGGGCAGCCUGCCAGCUUCAAGAUAAUGGCUUUAUGGCUGGACUUUGAACUUUUAAAGCCGGUUUUGCCGGGAAUAGGCAAAAGGCUCCCAGGCACAAGUCACUAUGCUGGGGAAAUCGAAAGUAACUUUUAAGUGUGC